rnacentral:tRNA from 1 species
GGGGCUGUAGCUCAGCUGGGAGAGCGAUUGCAUGGCAUGCAAUAGGCCAGGGGUUCGAUCCCCCUCAGCUCCA